CAAGAGAAGCUUAUUGGACAUGAACGGU
rnacentral:piRNA from 1 species